rfam:Gossypium hirsutum cultivar TM-1 chromosome 5, whole genome shotgun sequence
UGUUAAAAAUUUCAUCUAUUUGUACGGUUAAAAAUUGGCGUCUAAUGGAAUAAUCAGGAAGUGAGACUUGGCGUGCUACUUGUACUUCAUACUGACGUACAGAGACUAAUUUUUAAUUGUUGAAAUGGAUGGAAUUUUUAAUA